rnacentral:rRNA from 1 species
AGCGAACGCUGGCGGCAGGCCUAACACAUGCAAGUCGAACGAACCUUUCGGGGUUAGUGGCGGACGGGUGAGUAACACGUGGGAACGUGCCUUUAGGUUCGGAAUAACUCAGGGAAACUUGUGCUAAUACCGAAUGUGCCCUUCGGGGGAAAGAUUUAUCGCCUUUAGAGCGGCCCGCGUCUGAUUAGCUAGUUGGUUGAGGUAAUGGCUCACCAAGGCGACGAUCAGUAGCUGGUCUGAGAGGAUGAUCAGCCACAUUGGGACUGAGACACGGCCCAAACUCCUACGGGAGGCAGCAGUGGGGAAUCUUGCGCAAUGGGCGAAAGCCUGAUGCAGCCAUGCCGCGUGAAUGAUGAAGGUCUUAGGAUUGUAAAAUUCUUUCACCGGGGACGAUAAUGACGGUACCCGGAGAAGAAGCCCCGGCUAACUUCGUG